UCUAAAUCGUAAUCAAUGCCACUAAAAGCCUCAUAUAAGCAUCGCAAAUGACAAUCUUCUAUACGGAAACCGCAUUUGCGGCCUGGUUCAUGCGAAACUUUUUCCAAAUAUCUAAUCGAGUUGUUAGUAUGAUAUUUAUGGGUGAUGCUACAAAAUUGACACUUACAAAUCUUGAUAGGUGUUUUUGGAGUAUGAAAAAUACUUGCUCCCAUCUUUUUCUCCAGCAAGAGGACUAAAAGGCGUAGUAUCCUCUGCUACUUGCUGAACAUCAGAUAGAAGAAUUGAAGAUGAACGUGAAAUGUUUGAAACCGAAGAGGCAAUGUUUUCUUGUUGCUUUUUAAGGGAAUCAGAUAGUUGGAUAAUUUUGUUAGGAUCUUUUCCUGAUGUAGCUAAAUCAAAAAUAAUUUGUUGCUCAACCUGUUCACGUCUUUCCUUUUCUUUUUGAUGCUCACGUAUAGCCGCUUCUCUUGCUUCUUGCUUUUGGCGUUUGAGAAGAAUCUCGUUUUGAGCCAAAAUGCGUGCUUCUGCGGCGGCUCUUGCAGAAUUUGCUGCUAUAGAAUCUCGAUUUUGUUUUUCAUAUUGUUUAACU